AGAGUUUGAUCCUGGCUCAGAACGAACGCUGGCGGCGUGCCUAACACAUGCAAGUCGUGCGAGAAAGCCUCCUUCGGGAGGUGAGUAAAGCGGCGCACGGGUGAGUAACACGUAGGUAACCUACCCACGAGCCUGGGAUAACCCACCGAAAGGUGGGCUAAUACCGGAUAUGACCACGGGAGUGACAGCUUCUGCGGUGAAAGGUGGCCUCUGCUUGCAAGCUACCACUCGAGGAUGGGCCUGCGCGCCAUUAGCUCGUUGGUGGGGUAACGGCCUACCAAGGCUAUGAUGACUAGCUGGUCUGAGAGGAUGACCAGCCACACUGGGACUGAAACACGGCCCAGACUCCUGCGGGGGGCAGCAGUGGGGGAUAUUGCGCAAUGGGCGAAAGCCUGACGCAGCGACGCCGCGUGGGUGAUGAAGGCCUUCGGGUCGUAAAGCCCUGUCGAGGGGGACGAAACAGUUCCGGCCGAAUACGCCGGGACCUUGACGGUACCCCUAAAGGAAGCACCGGCUGACUCCGUGCCAGCAGCCGCGGUAAUACGGAGGGUGCAAGCGUUGUUCGGAAUUACUGGGCGUAAAGCGCGUGUAGGCGGCCCGCUAAGUCUGAUGUGAAAGCCCGGGGCUCACCCCCGGAAGUGCGUUGGAAACUGGCAGGCUCGAGUCCCGGAGAGGAGGGUGGAAUUCCUGGUGUAGCGGUGAAAUGCGUAGAUAUCACGAAGAACACCGGUGGCGAAAGCGGCCCUCUGGACGGUGACUGACGCUGAGACGCGAAAGCGUGGGGAGCAAACAGGAUUAGAUACCCUGGUAGUCCACGCCGUAAACGAUGAGCACUAGGUGUCGCGGGUAUUGACCUCUGCGGUGCCGCCGCUAACGCAUUAAGUGCUCCGCCUGGGGACUACGGCCGCAAGGUAAAACUCAAAGGAAUGACGGGGGCCCGCACAAGCGGUGGAGCAUGUGGUUCAAUUCGACGC
rnacentral:rRNA from 1 species